rnacentral:tRNA from 1 species
CCCCAGAUAGCUCAGCUGGUAGAGAAUCUGCCUCUAAUGCAUGAGAUCCUGGUUCAAUUCCUGGGUUGGGAA